rnacentral:rRNA from 1 species
GACGAACGCUGGCGGCGCGCCUAACACAUGCAAGUCGAACGAGCGAGAGAGAGCUUGCUUUCUUGAGCGAGUGGCGAACGGGUGAGUAACGCGUGAGGAACCUGCCUCAAAGAGGGGGACAACAGUUGGAAACGACUGCUAAUACCGCAUAAGCCCACGGUGCCGCAUGGCACAGAGGGAAAAGGAGCAAUCCGCUUUGAGAUGGCCUCGCGUCCGAUUAGCUAGUUGGUGAGGUAACGGCCCACCAAGGCGACGAUCGGUAGCCGGACUGAGAGGUUGAACGGCCACAUUGGGACUGAGACACGGCCCAGACCCCUACGGGAGGCAGCAGUGGGGAAUAUUGCACAAUGGGGGAAACCCUGAUGCAGCGACGCCGCGUGGAGGAAGAAGGUCUUCGGAUUGUAAACUCCUGUUGUUGGGGAAGAUAAUGACGGUACCCAACAAGGAAGUGACGGCUAACUACGUG